ensembl:lncRNA
CUAGAUUUCAGUCUUGGUUCGAUGUGGCACUUACUGAUUUUUGUUUCCAUGAGAUGCCAUAGCAACAAAGGAGGACGCACAGGACAUUCUCCAAACACCCAACAGGGCCGACAUCCCCGUUAUUUGCAAGAGGAAGCGACGCAGGUAUAGAGGGUACAGUGAUGAACAAAACGGAGCGAUUUCUCAACUCAAAUAAUAUUUUUGGAAAAACUGAACAUUUGCUAUCUAACUGAGAGUCUCCUCAUUGAAAACAUCUGAAGUUCUUCAAAGGUUGCUGUCCUUCUCGGCAGAAUAUGUCCAGCAAGCCAGCAAAGUAUGGCAUCAAUAUAUGGGUGGCCUGUGAUGCACAAUCCAGCUACACUUGGAGAUGCAAGUCUACACAUGGAAGCCGACCAGUGGAGGCCCAGAGAAGAACUUGAUGUGACAGAUGGACUGAGGGGGCACAAUGUCACGUAUGACAAUUUCUUCACCACUUAUGAACUCAGCCAGCAGCUCCUGAAGAGGAAGAUCACCAUGGUUGGCAUGGCUGAGCUCCCCCCUGCACUCCUCGCAACAAGGGGGAGAGAGGCCUUCUCAUCAAAGUUUGCCUUCACCUCCACCACCACUCUAGUUUCUACCUCCCAAAGAGGAACAAGAAUGUGGUGCUCCUGAGAACACUGCACAAAACGGCUGAGAUCAGUAAUCGUGAGGACAGGAAGCUAGCCAUCAUUUUGGAUUACAACCACAACAAAGGAGGCGUGGGCAAGCUGAUUGGAACUUACAGCUGCAGGAGGAUGACUGCCCGCUGGCCCCUGGUCAUCUUCCAUAACAUCAUGGAUGUGUACUCAUUCA